AAUUGAUUCUUGUUUUGCUUGGUCUUAAAAUUCAGUUUUCCUUCAAUUAGUUGAGCAUAAUGAGUUGAUUAUGCAGAGAAUUUAGGCUAAUGUUCCAAUAUUAGAUGAAUUUACAAAAUAGGGUUUGAUAUUUGUGGUUUUUCUAGUUCAGUUACAAAAUAGGGUUUGAUAUUUGUGGUUUUUCUAGUUCAAUUACAAAAUAGGUUUUGAUAUUUGUGGUUUUUCUAGUUCAAAAUAGGUUAGUUUACUAAAGCAUUUAGAUGCAAGGCCACCUGGUAAGUUUUCGAAGCUUCAUCAGUAAUUUGUGCUAUAGUAUUCUGGUCAACCAAAGCGGUGUUUUAUUUUACCCCUUUUUCGACACUUUCAAACAGACGUUCUUGUAUUACAAUAAACUAAAUCAAACAUCUAGCUGAAUUCCCCUUUGGCCCUUACGGAGUAGUAGUUAAGUUAGUUGUCUCCGUAGUCAAGGAUCUAUUAGAAACAACCAUUUCGCAGUAAUAAGACAUCAGCAAAAAGUGUGUUUCUGCAAGAAUUAGUAGGCUGCAGACAUCUGACCCAUCAGAACAGACUACGCGCGAGACUCAUUUGAGGCACUAGAGUAAUUGUACAAUAUGAUAGGCUAGAAGGUCAACAAACAAAAACCUAUAGAUUUGGGUUGUAAACUUGUAACUUGUAUUGUUGGUAAGGUUACUGUAUAUAGGCAUUUGCUAACUGAUACAUAUGUGAAACAUUUCCAGAUAUAUAAGAUGCCAAAAGAUAGAAAUAUAGUGCAUCCGUUUACUAAGAUUUCAGCUUCCAACAGAAGCUUAAUGAAUGAUCAACACAUUUCAUUUAGUGGCCUUCUAUAGAAACAUCCUACUGUCCUAACAAGAUGUGCUAUAGUUUGUUCAUUAGUUACUGCCAGUUUUGGACCUUCGGGAAAAAAAUAUUGAACCGGGGAUAAAAAGGGGAACUUUCAUUGCUGAAUUAUUGAUUGAAUACUUUGCUUCCAUUGGCUGUUGAUGAACCUUGCAUAUUGUUCCUUCCAAAAGCAUAUUUUUGGGAUUAGAUAGAUAAAACAUAUUCCUGUUUUGUUUGCGUUUUACUACAAGUGCAACAAGUUCUAGUAUUGCCAGGUUCAACGAGUUCUCUUUUUGGUUGAAUAUUGUGUGUAUCCUUUUUCAGCUCACUGUUUAAUUUCAUUUCUAGGUCCAUUAUAGUAUCUUCCUACAUAGCUGUAUAUCAUGAAGCAGAAUCUCGAGGAAUCUGAAACUUUAUAUACUUGUGUGCUAUUCUAAAUACAUGUUUUAUCUGGUGCAGGCACUUGAUAAAUCGCAGCUUGGAGCCCUUCUUCGUCAAAGAGGCGAAAAGCUUGAUUCACCAGUGCUUGAAAAUGGGGAAAAUUGGAGUGUGGGACAACGAAAACUUGUUUCAUUGGGCCGUGCUUUGCUUAAGCAGGCAAGAAUACUUGUUCUUGAUGAAGCCACUGCUUCUGUUGAUACAGCGACAGAUAAUCUUAUCCAGACUCUAAUAAGGGCAGAGUUCAGGGACUGCACAGUUGUGAUGAUAGCACACAGAAUACCAACAGUUAUGGAUAGUGAUUUUGUGUUGGUCCUCAGUGACGUGUGCUCAACAAGUCGGCGCCCGCGAGUGUGGCUAUUACAUUAUGAAGUUCAUGCAUGAAAUAGUCACGUUACACCAUAACUCUGAUGAGCGGUUAGAUAAUGCUUACACUCCAAGAAAUGCGCCUUAUACCGAUGAGGAAAUAGAUGUGGUUCGUGAGCAAUGGGCUAAGUUUUUUACAACCGAGUAUUUAUUUACUUAGGUUGUUUAGACACAAAGAUGGAAGCGUUUAUAUCUUCAUGGAUUUGCUUGUUUUGAGUACUGGAAGCGGUGUUAAUGGUUUCACUCUAGAUCCAUCUCCUUGGAGAGUAUAUUUUAACUCAUCCAGACAUCAAGGGAUCGAGUCGAUUGGAAGAAAUUCAACACUGCCUUAAUUAAGGUUUAUAAUGCAUGAUCUAAAGGGAGCUAAGUGGCCGGAUUAGAGAAAUUUGUUAGACUAGCUCUCUAGCCUUUUGUCUUUAUUUGUUAAUAUUAGUUGUAAUUUGUUAGACUAGCUAGGUGUUUAAAAUUGCAAACGUACGUACUAUACGCUUGGGUUACUAUAAAUGAAGUUAAUGUAAUGAUUUAUUUAUUAAAAAUAAGCAGAUUCAUACCUUUGCUA